rnacentral:rRNA from 1 species
GGAGCUAAUACCGGAUAAUAUUUUGAACCGCAUGGUUCAAAAGUGAAAGACGGUCUUGCUGUCACUUAUAGAUGGAUCCGCGCUGCAUUAGCUAGUUGGUAAGGUAACGGCUUACCAAGGCAACGAUGCAUAGCCGACCUGAGAGGGUGAUCGGCCACACUGGAACUGAGACACGGUCCAGACUCCUACGGGAGGCAGCAGUAGGGAAUCUUCCGCAAUGGGCGAAAGCCUGACGGAGCAACGCCGCGUGAGUGAUGAAGGUCUUCGGAUCGUAAAACUCUGUUAUUAGGGAAGAACAUAUGUGUAAGUAACUGUGCACAUCUUGACGGUACCUAAUCAGAAAGCCACGGCUAACUACGUGCCAGCAGCCGCGGUAAUACGUAGGUGGCAAGCGUUAUCCGGAAUUAUUGGGCGUAAAGCGCGCGUAGGCGGUUUUUUAAGUCUGAUGUGAAAGCCCACGGCUCAACCGUGGAGGGUCAUUGGAAACUGGAAAACUUGAGUGCAGAAGAGGAAAGUGGAAUUCCAUGUGUAGCGGUGAAAUGCGCAGAGAUAUGGAGGAACACCAGUGGCGAAGGCGACUUUCUGGUCUGUAACUGACGCUGAUGUGCGAAAGCGUGGGGAUCAAACAGGAUUAGAUACCCUGGUAGUCCACGCCGUAAACGAUGAGUGCUAAGUGUUAGGGGGUUUCCGCCCCUUAGUGCUGCAGCUAACGCAUUAAGCACUCCGCCUGGGGAGUACGACCGCAAGGUUGAAACUCAAAGGAAUUGACGGGGACCCGCACAAGCGGUGGAGCAUGUGGUUUAAUUCGAAGCAACGCGAAGAACCUUACCAAAUCUUGACAUCCUUUGACAACUCUAGAGAUAGAGCCUUCCCCUUCGGGGGACAAAGUGACAGGUGGUGCAUGGUUGUCGUCAGCUCGUGUCGUGAGAUGUUGGGUUAAGUCCCGCAACGAGCGCAACCCUUAAGCUUAGUUGCCAUCAUUAAGUUGGGCACUCUAAGUUGACUGCCGGUGACAAACCGGAGGAAGGUGGGGAUGACGUCAAAUCAUCAUGCCCCUUAUGAUUUGGGCUACACACGUGCUACAAUGGACAAUACAAAGGGCAGCGAAACCGCGAGGUCAAGCAAAUCCCAUAAAGUUGUUCUCAGUUCGGAUUGUAGUCUGCAACUCGACUACAUGAAGCUGGAAUCGCUAGUAAUCGUAGAUCAGCAUGCUACGGUGAAUACGUUCCCGGGUCUUGUACACACCGCCCGUCACACCACGAGAGUUUGUAACACCCGAAGCCGGUGGAGUAACCUUUUAGGAGCUAGCCGUCGAAGGUGGGACAAAUGAUUGGGGUGAAGUCGUAACAAGGUAGCCGUAUCGGAAGGUGCGGCUGGAUCACCUCCUUU